rnacentral:rRNA from 1 species
GAUGAACGCUGGCGGCGUGCCUAAUACAUGCAAGUCGAGCGAACGGACGAGAAGCUUGCUUCUCUGAUGUUAGCGGCGGACGGGUGAGUAACACGUGGAUAACCUACCUAUAAGACUGGGAUAACUUCGGGAAACCGUAGCUAAUUCCGGAUAAUAUUUUGAACCGCAUGGUUCAAAAGUGAAAGACGGUCUUGCUGUCACUUAUAGAUGGAUCCGCGCUGCAUUAGCUAGUUGGUAAGGUAACGGCUUACCAAGGCAACGAUGCAUAGCCGACCUGAGAGGGUGAUCGGCCACACUGGAGCUGAGACACGGUCCAGACUCCUACGGGAGGCAGCAGUAGGGAAUCUUCCGCAAUGGGCGAAAGCCUGACGGAGCAACGCCGCGUGAGUGAUGAAGGUCUUCGGAUCGUAAAACUCUGUUAUUAGGGAAGAACAUAUGUGUAAGUAACUGUGCACAUCUUGACGGUACCUAAUCAGAAAGCCACGGCUAACUACGUG